rnacentral:lncRNA from 1 species
GCCCAGGUGCCCUAACUUCUCCGGGAGACAUUGGCUUUGGUUGCAGCAAACUUUGGUCAUGGACCUCUUCCAAAUGAUUUUAACCUGCGGCACUUCAGGAUGAAUCCACCCAUCCACAGUCCUCCUCCAUCAGGUCUGCAAGGAGCCACUUCUGUACCCACGACCAAACAGAAUUCCGUUGCUGUGGAAGAGUGAGCCCACCUUUUUUCCUGUGUAAGCAACCUUUCCAUAUCCUUAGCAGUUCUCAAAUAUUUGCUGAAAAUGUUGAUCAGCUGUUUAUCCCCCGCCUUCUUCGUCAACAAAGGAAUAUACUUUCCUCGGUUUUUAUUACCAUCCCAGUGGGAUCAGAGAAAGAGAAGACGGAGGCGCGUGGCCCACGGUCAGCCUUCGAAUGGAAAUCUUCCCCUCCCUCCCAGUACGUGACUUCUCGGUCGUCUUUGUCAGAGACCUGUAUGUCUUCUCCUCCAAAUGCCAAUUUGCUAAGAAUUCACAGCCUCGGUGCCAUCAGCUGCCUGGGUCCAUGGCUCUGGC